GAGGCUCAACUGUAUGUCUCUGAUGGAGACUUUGGGGCUGGUUGCAUGAUGUCACUUUUUCUAGGAUAAGAAAUUUGGGCUCCUAACCACCUAGUAAUAUUCCACUGGGAUUACUGCACCUAUUUAGCAGAUGAAAAUUUUGAUUUGCAUUGUGAAUCCCUGACUGUUUAACUUUUUACUCCUUAAACUCUACUAAAGAAUAUCUUCACAGAAAAAUAAAGCCUCAGCAUUUGUGGAUUGUUAGAAAUAUUAACACAUUGGUAGUAAACAAGUCUUAUCUUAAAAUCUGUAUUUGUUUGCCUCUCCAGGUCAUCCAAGAACAUAAAAUUUUGAACUUAUUCUUUGUUUCCUAAACAGUGCUUGAUGGAUACUGGGAUAAGGUCAGCAUAUGUUUACCUUUAAGAUGUAGUCAAACCAAAAUCAUGGCUUAAUGCACAGAUGGUUCUUAGUGGUUAUCCAGUGAGAAGACAGAGAAAGUUAAAUUUGAUACCAGAUUUAUAUGCAGUCUUAGUAUUAGGAGUAAUUUUCAUUUUCAAAAUACACUUUUUUCUUAAAAUAUAGGCUUAAAAUGUAGACUCAUUGUUAGAAAACAAAAUUGAUAAUCAGCUUAAUUACUCUCAAGAGCAAAUUUAAAAGCAAAACAAGUAUCUUUCCUUCAGUUCCCUUUAGUUCAGUGGCAGGCAGUGCCCCCUCCAAUUUACUGAUACAAAAGCACCUCUUGAUUCCCAUGGGUACAUUUGCUGACAUGCCUGCUUCCUGCAGACUGGGACCAUCACUUGAAAACAGGAGACAGUGUCUUCAUAUCUCUGCAGCCUAACACCUUGAGUAAUACUUGGAGCACUGUAGUCAAAAAAUUGUCAGUGAUUUCAGGACUGGGUUAAAUGUUGACGUGAAUUAAAAAGAGAAAAACAGAGUUGCACAUGAAAAUGAGAUCCCCAGCUUGUCUGGUUGGAAAGUAGAUUCAUUGGGCCAGCAAAAACAUUUUCUGAGUAUGCACAGUGUAUAUGCACAGCUUGAGUGCCUGGUACAAAAAGGUACCAGGAUAUAGAAGAUCCAGAACAAAGGUCUUGCAUUUCAGUAGCUAGUAUUGAGCAGCUUUUAACAUAGCCUACAUUUUAGUAAGUGAAAGAAAAG
rnacentral:lncRNA from 1 species